CCUACGGGAGGCAGCAGUGGGGAAUAUUGGGCAAUGGAGGCAACUCUUAUCCAGCAAUGCCGCGUGAAUGAAGAAGGUCUUCGGAUUGUAAAGUUCUGUAAUUGGGGACGAAAAAAAUGACGGUACCCAAGAAAUAAGCCCCGGCUAACUACGUGCCAGCAGCCGCGGUAAUACGUAGGGGGCAAGUGUUAGUCGGGAUGACUGGGCGUAAAGGGUGUGUAGGCGGUGUAGCAAGUUAGAAGGAAAAUACCUAGGGCUUAACUCAGGUGCUGCUUCUAAAACUGCUAUACUUGAGUGCAGUAGAGGAAGGUGGAAUUCCUAGUGUAGCGGUGGAAUGCGUAGAUAUUAGGAGGAACAUCAGUGGCGAAGGCGACUUUCUGGACUGUAACUGACGCUGAGGCACGAAAGUGUGGGGAGCAAACAGGAUUAGAUACCCUAGUAGUC
rnacentral:rRNA from 1 species